UGGGACAUAGCUUAGUGGUAAAGCACUUGCCUAAUAUGCAUGAAACCCUGGGUUUGGUCCCUAGUACCCUGA
rnacentral:tRNA from 1 species